rnacentral:rRNA from 1 species
UACGGAGGGUGCAAGCGUUAAUCGGAAUUACUGGGCGUAAAGGGUGCGUAGGCGGAUAUAUAAGUCAGUUGUGAAAUUCCGGGGCUCAACUUCGGAGCUGCAACUGAAACUAUAAAUCUAGAGGAAUGGCGGAGAAAACGGAAUUCCACAUGUAGCGGUGAAAUGCGUAGAUAUGUGGAAGAACACCUGUGGCGAAGGCGGUUUUCUAGCCUACUCCUGACGCUGAGGCACGAAAGCAAGGGGAGCAAACAGG